rnacentral:lncRNA from 1 species
CAAGCAUGAGAAACAACAUUGUUGCAAAUAAGUUUAAGGAAAAUAGGAAGCUAGGCUCACAAAGACAUUCUUUCACUUUUCUUUCUCUUGGUUUUUUUCUUCUGCUUUUUUUUAAUCUUGGUGCAAUCCAUGUAAUUUUGUAAGAGUCCUUAAAACUGUGUUGGUGGGAUAUAGAUUUCUGGAUGAAGAGAUAGUUCAACCUUGCUCAUGUCAGAAAACAACCCAUCAGUCUAAAAAAGAUCAGUUUCCUGGGCUCCGUUGGGUUAGGAGUUGUGGACUUCUAGACUCCUAGUCUCCAGAGGAAUGGAUGUUUUCACAGUAGAGGAUUUGCAGUUCUAAAAGAGAAGAACCUUCUCUCUAUGUUGAUGUGGGAGUAUCUCC